CUGAGCGCGCGCUCGGAGCUCCGCGCCCUGCGUGCCCGGGCCGGGGGUCCCGGGGCGGCUCCGCUGAGGGGAGGAGGCGGCUCGAGGGUGGGAGAAGGGUCCGAGAGCGACUCCCCAGCGGGAGAAGGACGGGGCAGCAGCACGUCCCGGCCGGUACGAUGCGGGACGGGGAAGGAACCCAGGAUUCCAAGUACGUGCAGACCCGAGCCAGCGCCUGGCCAGCGGGUCCGUCGCAGCGGCGGUGCCGUGACUCCGUCGUGCAGACUGAGCCCCGAACGGCCACUGGGCUGUAGUGGGGGCUCCUGGCCGUGCCACUACUGUGUGACCAGCCUGAUUCCAUCAGGGAUGUUCCUGGCAUCCAAACCCACGCAGAAUCUGGGUGUGCUCUGCAGAGGUUCCUACUCAUCCGGGUCUGCGACCCACGUGGGAAGGGAGGUCCAGCUUCGGCUGGUGAUGUGGCUGCCUCACUGCUGAGCGCACCGUGGACUCUGGAGUACCCGCUGCACAGAAGGGCUCUGGGCCACAGCUCCUGUACAUCACGGCAGAGCUUUGCCCGCUCGUCCUCACCAUCCCCACUCCGGAGCUGGUCUGGUACCUGCUUCACUAUCCUCACGCUCCAUUCCUCCUGGGGACAGUCUGGUGCACUGCAGGAUGUCAGCUGCAUCCUGGCCCCUGUGCUCUAGAUGUCACACCCCCCCCCAGGUUUGGCAACCCAUACUGUCUCCAGAUAUUGCCAAAUGCCCCCUGUGUGCAAAAUCUCCCACGGAGACCCCCGUCCUAGCAGGACCCAGCAUGGUGAGUUGGUGAGUACAGUGUGAGGAGAGUGGCUUCAUUUACCAGGUAGUCACUGGAGCCACCAUGUGUCUAACGUCCAGGGGGGAGACAAGAGGAGCACAAGCAGCCCCAGCUCUGAUGGGAAAGUUGUCCUCCUUUGGCUUGGGGGCCUGAUGCCAGGACCAGGGGCUGGGGCUGGUUUGGAUGGAUGGGGGACUCCCAGAUCUACUGUCCUCCCUAGUUAUCAUCCUGGAAGGAUGAAGAGGGUCUACCAGGCAGAGGGAGGGAACCGUGGUGCCCCAUGUAGCCACCUCUGUGCUCACAAAAGCAGGCUUUUCUGCUUCCUCAAACUCUCUGGUGUUGGCCUGAGCUCCAACAAACAGCAUCAAGUGGUGAAGAAACCGGACCUUGUUUUAGUAUUUCUUUUCCAGCCAAGAUACAUUUCGGGAGGAAUUUCAAGUGACCUGUGAGGAGGGGAGUGACCCUUCCACCUGUUGGUUUGCACAUUGUACCCUUCUCCUCUGGUCAGAGGGUUGAAAAUGUCAUUGGUUGUAGGGAUGGAAUUGUCACCCUCUGGAGAGGUCUCGUCUGCAGGUCCCCAAACAGCUGGAACUGAGAGCAACCGGGAACCCUGGGCUCGGGAGUCAGACCCCUUGAAAGUGGUUACAGUUGAAGGAUCUGUUUAGAAAAGACUUGGACUGGGUAAGUCAACCCCCCCUCCCCCGGGUCCUGCCUAGUCAUAAGGAGGAAUGUCACCCCAAGACCCAUGGGCAGCUUUGAGUGAGGAGUACAUGUGUGCAUUCCAGGCUUGGGGGCCUCCUGAACCCCUCACCCUACCCUCUUUGGAGUGUGUGCCCCUGCCCCUUCCCUGCGGGUACCUGGGUGCAGAAGUGCUAUGACAAGUGGGCGAAGUGAAACCACCACCCGGGCCCCUGGGGAGAGGAACCUGCUGGUUGUGAAUCUGGAAACUGCAACCACCUUUAACCCACAGCCACGUCCAUGCAGCUCAGCAGCACCUCACACCCAGAGCUCUGCCUGUGGUCAAGAAGCUGUCCCCAAAGGCUCGUCAGGAUCCAGGACUUCACACCGGGGAAGGGUGAGCAACGUGUAAUUAGACGUGAAGUGAGCUAGCCAGCCUCAACCCAGUAACCCUCACCUAAACACCUCCCUAACCUAAUUUGCCAGCACGGUCGCUGUCUGUGCAGAGAAACAUAGGAGCAAGAAAGUCGGCAGCCAACCAGACCUUGAGAGCACCUCACUUGGCUGGCCCUGAACAGACCCUUGGCCCCAGGAUGGUGACCUGCGGUGAUCCCACAACCAUCACACCAGUGGAAAUGCCUCUGCAUCCAGGUUCCCUCAAGGCAGCACCCCACAGGGUAGGAGGGCCCCUGGACUCCAUGAGGUGGAUGCAGGAGGAACCAACUACAGUGGAAGGUGAGUUUGUAUGAGACGUGGACGUGAUGGCCUGACAGCCCGGAGGACCCUAGUGUGGCCGGUCAGAUACGUGCAUAGGCUAGAACUUCAAGUGACCAGCUGCUGAGCCAGGUCUGGGCCAGUCUCAGCAUCUGGGCUUCUGUCCUCAAGCAGCCACAUACCCCAAGGGCUGCCUCUGGAGCUGGGACCCAGGUUUUUCCUCCCUGGGCCAGGAGAAGGUAUAGGGAGGGAACAGCCAAGCACAGGAGCUGGAACUGAGGAGGGAGGAGGUGCCCCAGACAGCAGGAGCUUCCAGGUCCCGGAGAAGCCCAAGCCACCCCAGUCUGCUCUGCAGGGACGUGGGCACUAACAGCUGUCCGAUAGCUCCUGGCUCUGCCCUGAGGGAGGGUGGUGUUGAGGUUCCCCCAGCCUGGCCCACAUCUGAGCCGCAUUCGGAUCUUCCCAGCCCUGUGUGGAUAGCAACACCACCUCUUUUCCCCAGGGUGCCAGCGCCCCAUCCUUCUGAGUGAGCAAAAUCCCAGGUGAGGGUGACAGGACGGCCCUGGACUCCUGGGCUGGGCUCAGACCUCAGCCAGGUACUCACAGCACCACACACACAAAACCCUUGCACCCCUGCUUGGUGAGCGGGUGCUGUCAGAGCUUAAGCCCCCCCUCCCGGCUCCCGCAGACCUGGGAUCGUACCCAGACUUGUAGGCUCCGAGGUGUUAACCAGAGCGCAGGGUCCUGGCUGCCAAGGGCAGAGGCCUCACCCAGAGACCCGGCUUAUAUGCAAAAAUGCCAGUUUCAGCCUCCACAUCCUGCACCAAGUUAGGCACUUACAGUAAUGGUCCCUGUUCUCUAGUAGGUACUCCCGUAUGGUCCCCGCAGGUGCUCCCAGACCGGUCACCUGGUUGAACCAGCCUGAGGAAAGGACCCAGAUCCUGCUACCUGCAGGGCAGGGGAGCGUCUGACACAGUAGUUACCGUCUUAUGUCCCUGCUGCGCGGUGGAAAGUCUGAGGCUGCGUUGAGUGUUCAGGGGCAGGGUGCCCAGGGCUGUAGACCCCUGCUUCAGCGGCUGAUAGUGUUGGCGCAUCUCGUGUCUUUUGUGUGCAUACGUUUGUACGUUUUCUUCUUUUUAAAUGAUUUUUUAAAAGAUUAUUUAUUUUAGAGGGGAAAAUCACGCACAAGUCGGGGGCGGGGCAGAGGGAGAGAAUCUUAGGCGGUCUCCCCCCUGAGUGCAGAGCCUGAGGCCGGGCUCGAUCUCAUGACCCCGGGAUCAUGACCUGAGCCAAAAUCAGGAGUGGGCCACUUAACUGACUGAGCCACCCGGAUGCCCCACAGUUGGACCAUUUGAAAGUUGCAGAGGCUAUGACCCUUUGUCCCUAUAUACCUGGGACAACGUGAGACGCUGUCCUGGCACCGUAAGCACACCCUGGGAGACAGGAUCCCUCAGCACCCUGAGGUGAGAGUUUGCAUUUUCCCUACUGUCCCCAAAACAUGCAGUGUAAGAAACAUGGCCCUCCGCUGGGGACUCAAUGGUAGUGCCAGUGACCACCAUCUCAGGCGGGGGCCUGGAGGGCUGGCCAACCCCUCUGCACUGGAGUACCCAGCCAGUGUCACUGAUGCUGGGGGGGGCGGGGGGAGGAUCCCAUCCGCCCCUCUGUGCCUCUGCACCAUGCCCCCCCUCUGCCUCUGCGCCCACACACCAUGGCCUGUCAAGAGCGUGAGUCCGAGAACCUGGGCAUCCAGAGCAGACACAGGAAUGAGGGGCAUUCCGGGCCUUCAAGCAAAGGAGGUGUGAAAUCCCCUUCCCUGCACCAACAAAAGGAGAAGGUGGGCCUGCUGAGGCUCUGGGGACUAUGUGGCCAGGCACAUUGGGCGAUGCCCACCCAACCUCUCCCCUCUCAGGCCCCACAAGUGUUGGACAUGCCUCAGCCCUGGGAGAGGCUGUGCACUCCAGGGAUGGGGGUGGGAGAUGCUGUGGAUGGGGCACAGGCCCUCCCUGGGUCAGUUCUGAGCCACACCUCAGUGACUCAGCCCAGGCGAGUGGGCGGGGACAGCUGUAGAAAACCCUCGUUCUGGGCUCUCAUCAGGUGUGGCCUGGUUCCCACCCGUGCAGUCGGCCUGUCUCCCAGACACCCAGCUCUGGAAAGAGGCCACAGUGGGCUGGGCAGUCCAGGGCUGCCUCCUGCUGGAUGGGCUGAGCACAGUCCCCAGGCCAUCGUCCCUUGGCAGUAGGGGCUCCAUUUAGAUGGGCAGCCCCACCCAGAACCAGGAGAUGCCAGCAAAGCCAGCCUUGGAAGACAGGAGUCCUCCUGUCCCCUCAGUGAGUCUGCAGUCCAUCUGUACAUGGUGGUGGGAAGUCCAGGUUGGCCUCACCUUCCCUGGACCUGAGGUUCAGGGAAGCAUGGCUCACAGGCUGGACAGGGAAGGGUACCCAGAGCCCCACAUGGGAUUGAUGUGGAGUGGGGAUCCUGGGGACCUGGGGGAGGGUCCAGGGGGUUGAUCACAUGUGCUUGGCAAACCAUAGAGACAGUGGUGAGGGGACUCAAGCAGGGGCCAGGGGAGGAUCAGACGCUGGGACCUGUGCAGGGUGAGGGCAGAGGAGGGUCAGACCACUGGUGUGGCUUCCAGAUCUUUGCACCUAAGGUCCCCAAAUGCCAUAGGCAAGGUCAACCAGGAGGUGACCUGAUGUCAUUACAGACUCAUUCUUCUGGCCUGAGAAGUCAUUGCGUGAUUUGUGCACCCCUUACAGAACCCAGGAAAUACUUAUUGAAGAACCCCUAGCAGGUGGGCUCUGGGAGCGUGGCCAGGGUGAUGAGUUCGAUGCUGAGGAAGAGUCCUGUGCCCCUGACACUCAGCUCCCACCCAACAGAACACCCGAAUCCCUGCAUUGCCUGAGGGCCAUAUGGCCCCUCUGAGGCGGCUGUCCUGCAAGACUAUGUUCAGGACCCUGCCUACAGCCCCUCGGCUUCUCGACCUGUGAUCAGAGGUCUCAGCGGGCCCUGGAGAUGGGGUACAGUGUGACCCAUAAGGAAGUGGGCUACACUCCAAAAAGAACUACUUGAGUUUUCUAGUUUAUACACAGAAAUGUGUAGGAAUGGAUAUGAAGGCUGUGGGAUAACAGUGGAAGGAAAAUAACAUCGGAUCAGGCCAAAUCCAAAACAGUUGACAUGGGCUCACCAAGCAGAUACUCUGUGUUAAUGUUGCAACUCGGGUUAGGGGCAGCUCUGACAGCCCGAGUGGUUGAAAUGUGGACCAAGACGUGCCCACGGUGAGCGAGUUAGAAAUGCCUGCGCUGCCUUGGUCCAAUGUAGAGAAAGGGAUUCAAAGGGUUGGGGAUAUUGGGGUGACUCUGUCAUUUAAGACCCAUUCAUCUACACAGAAGAGUGUCCAUCCAAAAGAUGCACCUUCCACUGAGACUGUGGGGACCCUAGCACCCCUGAAGAGCCCCAUGGUCCCUCUUUUCAGGCCAGACCCUACAGAAGGGACCAUAGCAACUCAACUGGAAAAACUCAAUACAGUGGAGUACUUGGAUCCUAGGGUGGCAGGGGCCAGGUGAGGGCACUCGCCUCCCAAAAGCAAAGUGGGCGUGGCUCCUGGGGUGGACAGCGGAGUCGAAACAGUGGUCAGAAUCGUCUGACUCACAGGGACCCAUGGUGUUGGCUGGCUGAUCGUGGCAUUGCCGGAUGUGAAACACAUAGGAAGUGCUGAAUUGUCAUUUGACCUGCAUCAGCAGAAAUGUUGUAGGCCAGGUGAGGAGAAGUCUGGCCUGAAUUAUAAAAACAGAGUCAUGGCCCUCCAUCAAUUCCAGACCUGAGCCAGUUAUAGACCCAAAACACCUUGAAGUGGGGGCGGCAGGGUCCACUUGAGGAAGGGCCCUGGUACCCCACUGAAAAUUUAUACUGUUCGUCUUUCUCCCUGUCUUCCCCAAAGGAAUCCGUGGGCUCUCAUCUGGGUAAUUGUGCACUGGGGAGAAGAGAAUAAUCAGAGCUUUGAGGGACUACCAGGUACAGAUUUUGAACCGACACUGACUCCCAGAGACCCAAAUCUAUCGUGGUGGUCCAGUCAGAAUAAAGGCUCGAGGAGGCCAGAAGGUCCAUGGGUUUUAGCCAAUGUCUGUCUCUCCACAGGCCUGGUGUGGCCCUGAACCCACCCUGUGUUUACCUCCCCAGUUCCAGAAUGCUCAAUUCGAAUCAACACACCCAGUAGCUGGCUGAACCCCCUCGGUGGUCCCCAGACCUGUGGAGUGAGGGCUGUUUGGGCAGGAAAGGCCAAGUAGGGCCCACCAGAACUGCCUCUACUGGGAAAAUAGUGAGCCCAAAGCAGCACCAUACUCCUGGAGGGAUUGCGGGGAUUAGCGCCACCAUCAGGGACAUGGCAGGUGCGGGAAUGGUGACUCCCAGCACACCCAGUCUGGCUCCCCUAUUUGGCCCGAGUGGGUGGGCCCUGGAGCGUGACCGUGGGCCAUCGUUAGCUUAAUCAGGCCGUGGCUCCAGCGGCAGCCGCUGGCCCGGCUGUGGUUUCAUUGCUUGAGCAAAUUAAUGCAAGCCUGGUACCCGGAAUGCAGCUAUUGGCCUGGAAGAUGCCUGUUUCCGCACCCGUCUGUGAGGCCCCCAAGCAGCAUGCUCUCAGCCGCAAGGCCAGAGAGGCAGGUUCACUGCCUGCCUCAGGGGACACGGACUCUCCAGCCCGACAUCGUAAUUUAUUUCACGGGGACCUUGACCACCAUUCCUUUCCACAAGAUUUCGUAUUUGUCCGUGAUGUGGGUGACAUUGCUAGCAGCUCCCCUAGACGUACUAGUAAGACAUCUUCACGUCAGAGUCAGGAAGUAAAUCCAACGAUAGCUCAGAGAGCUCCUUCCUCAGUGGCAUUUCUAGGGGCCCAGUGUGUGGGGUGUGUGGAGAUGUUUCCUCUGAGGUGAAGGGUUAGCUGGCACCCCUACAACCAAAGAAGAGGCACAGCAUUUGUGGGUCCCUUUGGCUCCUGGAGGCGGCCUAUUCCUGCUUUGAGUGCGUUACUCCAGCCAAUUUGCCGAAUGACCUAAAAAGCUGCUAGUUUUGAGUGGGGCCGGGAACAGGAGAAGGUCCAGGCUGCUGUGUGAGCUGCUCUGUCACUUGGGCCAGAUGACCCAGCGGGUCCAAUGAUGCCUGAAGGGUCCGGAGCAGAUGGAGUUGCAGUGCCCACCGUAGCCUCCAGCACAUUCUCUGUGCGCUGUUUGACGAAGACCAUCCUUGCUUCCACCCGUCUGUUUCCCAUCCGUAAAUGGACUUGGUGAAGUCACAGUGUGGACCCCACAGGGGCGUGGGUGGCCCAGGUGAAGCAGGCAGGACCUCAGG